GACGAACGCUGGCGGCGUGCUUAACACAUGCAAGUCGAACGAAAAAUCAUUGAAAGCUUGCUGAUAUGAUUUUUAGUGGCGGACGGGUGAGUAACGCGUGAGGACUUGUCUUAUACAGGGGGACAACAGUUGGAAACGGCUGCUAAUACCCCAUAAGCCUUAGGGUAAAAGGAGCAAUCCGGUAUUCGAGAGACUCGCGUCCUAUCAGCUAGUAGGUGAGGUAACGGCUCACCUAGGCGAAGACGGGUAGCCGGCCUGAGAGGGCGAACGGCAACACUGGAACUGAGACACGGUCCAGACUCCUACGGGAGGCAGCAGUGGGGAAUAUUGGGCAAUGGGGGCAACCCUGACCCAGCGACGCCGCGUGAGUGAAGAAAUCCCUCGGGAUGUAAAGCUCUGUUGUGUGGGAAGAUAAUGACGGUACCACACGAGGAAGCCCCGGCAAACUACGUGCCAGCCGCCGCCGUAAUAC
rnacentral:rRNA from 1 species